UGGGGAAUUUUGGACAAUGGGCGCAAGCCUGAUCCAGCCAUGCCGCGUGUCUGAAGAAGGCCUUCGGGUUGUAAAGGACUUUUGUCAGGGAAGAAAAGGAUAGGGUUAAUACCCCUGUCUGAUGACGGUACCUGAAGAAUAAGCACCGGCUAACUACGUGCCAGCAGCCGCGGUAAUACGUAGGGUGCGAGCGUUAAUCGGAAUUACUGGGCGUAAAGCGGGCGCAGACGGUUACUUAAGCAGGAUGUGAAAUCCCCGGGCUCAACCUGGGAACUGCGUUCUGAACUGGGUGACUAGAGUGUGUCAGAGGGAGGUAGAAUUCCACGUGUAGCAGUGAAAUGCGUAGAGAUGUGGAGGAAUACCGAUGGCGAAGGCAGCCUCCUGGGAUAACACUGACGUUCAUGCCCGAAAGCGUGGGUAGCAAAUGAGGAUUAGAUACCCUGGUAGUCCACGCCCUAAACGAUGUCGAUUAGCUGUUGGGCAGCUUGACUGCUUAGUAGCGAAGCUAACGCGUGAAAUCGACCGCCUGGGGAGUACGGUCGCAAGAUUA
rnacentral:rRNA from 1 species